rnacentral:misc_RNA from 1 species
AAUAUUAUAAUCCAAAUCAGUCUAUGCUGGAGUUAGUUUUUGCACCUGCAGAAGAAUGGAUCUCAUGCAGUGACUCAGAAAUCAUUGAUGCUACAAUCAGGGAACUGGCAAAACUCUUUCCUGAUGAAAUAUCUGCAGAUCAGAGCAAAGCAAAAAUUGUGAAGUAUCAUGUUGUUAAAACUCCAAGGUCUGUUUACAAGACUCUUCCAAAUUGUGAACCUUGCCGCCCCUUACAAAGAUCUCCUAUAGAGGGCUUCUAUUUAGCUGGCGACUACACAAAGCAAAAAUAUUUGGCUUCAAUGGAGGGAGCUGUCCUAUCUGGGAAGCUUUGUGCACAGGCUAUUGUACAGGUACUUGCUACUUAAACUUGGUUUAGCCAAGGUGAAAAAUCACACAUACACAUGCACACACAGGAAAAAAAAAAUGAAGAAGAAGAAGAAGAAGAAGAAGA